ACAUGGAAAAUUUCUGUCUGCUUUUUAUAUUUAUAAUUUACUAGCGGACCCGACAGACGUUGUCCUGUCUACACGUCUUUAAUUUGAAAAUUUUAAUCUUUUUUUAAUAAGCUAAAACCUUCUUGACCAUUUUGAUGAAAAUUAUUAUUCAAUUGUUAUGACAAAUCUAACGUCAUUUAUAUUUGACACUGCGAUGGUAGCGCCGUCUGCCGGAUCCAAUGUAAAACAUUCCAAAAUCAACAACUACUAAUAAAUUAAAAAUUAAUAAAAAAAACAUUGUCCAGCGGACAAAAUUGUGAAUCUAAACCAUUCUCAGAUCCCCUUGAACACACACAAAAAAAUUCAUCAAAAUCAGUCCACUCGUUUAAGAGAAGUUCAGUGACAUACACACGCACAGAAGAAUUAUAUAUAUAAAGAUAUAUAUAUAUGAAAGCAUAGAUUGUCAUCUAUACUGACCUAUACUUAUUAUACUCUUUGAUACGGACUUUGACAAUGACAGCAAACAUUAUCUCCGUUUUUUAUAUUUUAAGAAAUAAUUAAAUAAUUUAUGUUGAUUCAGGGCAAGGAAAGCAUGAACAUUAUAUUGUUGAUUCUCUUUUAUGUUUUAGAUGAAUCACAUAUUUGUUUAAUUGCUUAAAGAACCAAUCUAAAUAUUAUAUAUAUCUCAUAUUGUUUUUAAAAUCAAAUAAGGAUCAACACCGUUUGAGAACUAUAACUAAAAACAUGUUGACGAGAGCCAGGAGGACACGGGGCGCACCCCCACCAUCCCCGGACUCGUCGCUCAGCUCCGCCUCGCCGUCGCCGGAACCCAACCACGAACCGGUGACAGUAGUAGCGUCGAGCUCGAGCGACGACUAUUUCUCCCCACGGACGUCGCCACCACCUGUACGUCGGCCGUGGAGAGGCCGGCCACCGACGGGCUUGGGAGCCAGGGGUCAACAGACCCCGGGACGGGUCCCCGCUACCGGUGGUUGUGCGCGGCGCAUGAAAUGGUCUCAAACUGUAAAUGAGAACGUCAUGCGCGCGUACUACGGUGCUACAGAGGGAGGAACUGACCUCACUGCGUACCCUGAAAGGAUGCUGUCGAUGUUUCAGGUACUCGAACCAUCCGUCAACGUUUCGGCUCAACGACUCUCGGAUCAGGUGCGGGUCAUCCAACGCAAUCAUAGAUUGGACGAGGCUGCACUUGAUCGGCUACGCUCAGAAGCACUGCGCAACCGUGUCGUCUCCGCCUCACCACAAGAGGUGGCACAAACACUUACGGUGUCACAUUUUGUGACACCGACCGCUUCUGCCGCUGGAGUGGAGAACGACAGGGUUGGACAAGUAAGUACUCAGUGCAAUGAACGACUGAGGAGUGCUUCGGAGGAUGCGAUUCGUGAGUGCAGAUUUGAAAAUAAGAGUUGAAGCUAAAUAAUAUUCUAUUACUGGUAAUUCAUGCUAAAUACGCUUCAGCGUUUGAUAGUUUAUGAAUUCGCACGUGUUAUUGGCAAAAUUGUCUUUUUCGUAAAGGUCAUUAAAUAAGAGUUGAUGAUUGAGUGUUAUUGUUUACGACUUCGUUUGAAAAGAAGUUAUUGUCUGAAAUGGAUAUUACGCCGGUGAGUACACCUAGAGAUAACAUCUUAUAAUAUGAGCUAUUUCUACAAAGUUGUACAUUUUCCUUUAGUCCAGUCAAAUAAGGUUAAAUUAGGUAAGAAUCUCGGAAUGCGAGAUACCCAGCUGUAAUUUUGUAUAUACUUAUAUAUUGACACCUAAAACUUGUCUCAAAACCUACAUAUGGUAGGGUGUAAGCAACCCUUAAAAUUCAGGGUCAAAGGUGCCAAAAAUAGUUUUUUUGCGGUUUUUUGGAAAUAUCUCAUUUCCUAUGGGUUUUUGGUAUUUGCAUUUAAUACCAAAAUUGUAGAAUACAAAAUUCUCUACAACUUUUGUGUAAUUUUUUUUUUUAUACGGUGAACCGUUUUCGAGAUAUAGGGCGAAGAGCGCGCGGUCACUGCAUCUCUUCGAAAAAAUUUUUUUUUCAUUUAACCUAUCCGUGAUGGGUGUCUAUGGAUAGGACAUUAAAAAUACGUCAUGGUUCCUAAAACCAUUUUUCGUCAAAAUCAAUCGUUUGAAUGAAUUCAUAACUAUUUUGAAUAAUCUAUUUGAUAUUUUAAACUCACGGAAUUUGAAAGACUAUGGUUUUAAAAAGCCCAUUAGUAAAAGAAAUUCUUUGCAAGUGUUGUCAUUUUUUUCAAAAGCAAAAGAGUAUUUGCUAUCGUUGUCCAUUAAAGUUCAAUACAAAAAAAAAACUGUUAAAAUUGGGAAUGAAUCAAGAACAGUGUUCUCGAAUAAAUUAGUACCUACCGUUAAUUAAAACGCAAAAUAAUACUGGUUUGCUGGGAUUACUGACGUGCAUUAGUAGCUUGACAUAUUUAUAUAUGACUUUAAUUGAAACUGACAUACUUUUAUUUUUAUUGGCCUAAAAAUUCAGUCAGGAUCAUGUUGAGCUCUUUUUUGGCGCUAUUAGAAGUCAAGGUAGGCAUAAUAAUAACCCGAACAGUCGACAAUUCAAAGCAAGCUUUAAAAAACUUUUGUCUCAUUUGGAACUGAGUUCAAAAUUUACUGGCAAUUGUCUUCCACUUGAUAAUAUACCAAUACUAUCUGGAGCUCAAUCACUCGAUAAAAUUAAUAAUACCUCGAUAGGAUAUCGUCUUGAAGUUAGUGAAGAGAGAAACUUAAGUGAAUCUGAAAUAUUAAAUAACAUACGUUCAGGAAAGUUUUCAAAAAUAUCAAACAAAUUGCAAUAAACUUUCUUCUACAUUGGAUGAGAAUCCAUCUUCUUGUGUUAUGCAGCAAAUAAUAGGAUAUAUUUCGGGAUUCGUUGUCAGUAAAUUGGUAAAAAAACUAAAGUGUGAACAGUGUACAAAGAACUUGUGUGCAGAACAGAGAAACAAAUCUUUCACAAAUUAAUAGACCUAAGAGACAUGGGUGGUUUAUUUUACGCCUCUAACGAUAUAUUUACUAUUUGAAGGGGGGAUUUGGGCCUCCGGUAACCUCACUCACACAACGAAAAACAACGCAAGCGUUGUUGCACGUCGGUUUUCUGUGAGGCUGUGGUAUCACUCCGGUCGAGCCUGCCCAUUCGUGCCGAAGCAUGGCUCUCCCACACUUAGCAUGGCACUCCCACAAGAAAUUUUGAAAAUCCCAGGAUUCCUGAAAUAACAUCAAUUUAUUUAGGUUAUGUUUACAUUUUUAGAAUAAGCGACGCGAAAUAAUUUACUCUUUCUUUAUCUAGUGGAACACAGAUCCAAUCUCUAAGAGAAUCCAUGGUCGAACGGUUGCACUCGUCCUUGAAGGCGGUCUCCGAUUGGGGUGACGCCAACUUGGUCAGGUUCAACGCUACCAAAACCCAGGCGUGUCUAUUCUCUGCCAAACGGAGUCAAUUUCCGCUGGCUCCUACUUUCCGAAAUGUAUCCGUUCAAAUAUCGGAUCAUCUUGAGCUUCUGGGCGUAACUCUAUCGCCAACGCUAAACUUCGGCUCUUAUCAGCGUUGCCACAUCUAUCAACUUUUAGGUAGAUCUACCAACUUUGGCCUCAGUCUACCUGUCUACCAACUUAAGCCUCAAAUCUACCUAUUUUUCAACAUUUUCUAAUGUGUAGUAAAAAAAAAUUUUUCAACGCCAUUAUUGAUUUAUUGAAAUCUUUUUUUUCGUACUAAACGAUGAGUAUGGCUUUGUGACUUAGCUCAACGGCGAAUAAAAACACUUACGAUUGACAGUUGACAAACUUGACAUUGACACUUCAGUACCGCGUAAACCGCGCGCGUUUGAAGCAUUCGAGCUGUUUGUUGGUAUUACAGCAAAAUAUUGAGUUCAAUUUGAUGUAAUAAUUGUGAUAUUAUUUGUUAUUAUUUUAUUUUGUUACUUAAUACAGAGUUGUGAGUCACAAGUUCACAACUCUCACAACUUGUGAGUGAGUUGUUAGGACCUUCUUCUGCCUCUAGCAACCUAGAGUGAUAGAGUCUAUCUUAAAGAGUAAUGGAUUCUGAUAGCAGCGAUGCCCAUGAUAGUGGCGGAGAAGGUGCACACGAGUAAAAGGUCAGAAACUCCGCCACGAAAGGUCAGAAAAAGGCACUAUGAUCAAAAAUAUAUCAAGUCAUGGGAAAAAAAAAGGAAUAUGCAUAGUCCGGUCAAUAUACGAUAUAGAAAUAUCAAAAAUUCCGACAGAGCUAAAUUUUGGUAUAGACCUUUAUUUUACUAUAAAAAUUAAAAUAUUAAAAGUCCCCAUCAAUCCCAUAUGUGCUUCAAAAGUUAUUCGGGAUCAAAGGUCAAGAUUUUAGGUUUUUUGAGUUUUUUUGUACUAGGACACACAUAUCUUGCAUAGAAUUGAUAUUUAGGGUUCAGUUGAACACAAUAUUAUGAUAUGAAACCCUUUUUCGUAACGUCUUCAAUGUAUGUAAUAACAAUUCUCGUUACAUAUGGGUUCCUGGUACUUUUGCAAGUUUUUCUCAUUAAGACUAGGUAAGUUAGGUAAGAGUAGGUGUACCCACAACAGAGAGAUAGGAGACAGAGAUUGACAGAAGUUCACGAAAAGCUCAGCAGUUAGUUUAGUCUUAAUGAGAAAAACAGGUUUUGACUUAGUUUGUCUACAAACAUAUUCUUUGUUUUUUAUGAAAACCUUUCUUCUUAAAAGAAUAUUUAAGAAGAAAAAAAAUGUUACGAAAAAUAAAUAUCCGGAACCCUUUUUUCAUUUAUUCGAAGAAAUACCAGGAGUAAGGGUUUUGAUUUUAUUUAAGUACAUUGAGUGCACUUGCACUGACACCGAUCAGCUGAUUUCUUGCAAGUGAUGUAAUGAUUUCAUUUCCAAAUGUAGGAUUUCAUGUAUCUUAUGUAUUGGAAAAAUUCAUAACUUCGUUCCAUGCAAACAUGAGUUUAAAAAACCCUUCCCGUAUAGUUUGUUAUGUUAUCUAGAAACCGUGCACUUGAUGUGUAUACCCCCUUUUUGUUACACGUUGUAUACACAUGAGUGGAAAAUCAUCCAAUGUCUUCUCCUGCUUUGGGCGAGGCGAGAGGGAGUGUCAAAUUCUUACUGACUAAAAAACAACCCCGUUCCUACUCCUGCUUUUCGAGCCGGAGCCCCGGUAAAGCCGCUAGGUAGUCCGCAGCUCCGGAUUAGGCAUCAGCCCUACUGGGCCCCAUCUGUGGUGGUCUGAUGGCCGGAGAUCGUCGCGCGGUCCCCGACGCCCGGAGUGUCUCUCGCGACGGCUGGGGCGUAAGGAGUUUCGUUCCCUCACGCGCCUCGGCUCCUCCUUAGCUAGCAUGACUACUUCGCAGGAGGAGACGGCAUCCCAGCCGCUCCGCACCAUGGCUUGAACCGUAGGCGUUUGUACCGUUUAUAGCAUAGGCGUUUGUACACUUGGCAAUGCACGACCUUACAACACGCUUAAUUUAUUCCAUCUCACACUAAAAAUAUCGUAAAACUGGUUGUAUAGAAUUCGUGGGGUGAAUGGAGACAAAACCAAGAAAGUUUUUUUGGCCCGACCUCCAGUCUUUUGAGGGUUACAAUUGUUAAUAUUUUUUAGAAACGGUAUUUUUUUUAUUAGAUGGUAAUUCCGUUAUAAGAGUUGAACCCUAGAUUGGAGCUACCCGCUAGAUUCUUUAGAUUUAAGAUACCUAGUGAAAAGUUAUUUAGAUAAACAAGGAAGAACUGUAUUAAUAUUUAAAAAUAAUUUCCCGGGACCUGAUUUUGUAGCGAGCUUUCUUAGGAGACAUAAGGAUGUCAUCUCACAAAGAAAUAGCCAGAAUAUAAAAAAAAAAAUAGGGCAGCAGUCUCACCGGACACGAUAAGAGCCUACUUUCGGGAGUUAGAAGUUUCAUUGGCAAAUAUUGAGUCCUGUAAUAUUGUUAAUUACGACGAGACCAACUUAACUGACGAUCCGGAUCGAUCUCAAUAAAUACUGACAAAACGGGAACAAAGUACCCCAAACGGGAAGAUUGAAGAUAUAAUAUUACCUAUAUUUAAUGGCGCAAAUUAUUCAAGUUAGAAGUUAAGGUUGAUCACUUUAUUGGAAUAUAAAGAAUGCCACAAGGCAGCCAUUUGCAUCUAUUAAAACUGAAACAGCAGAAGCGGAUUGGAAAAAGAAAUAUUUAAAAGCAAGAACUAUUAUAAUGAGUACGAUAUCAGAUAAACAAUUAGAAUAUGUGAGUGAGUGCAAAACGGCAUUUGAAAUGAUAUCAAAAUUCGAUAAAAUGUAUUUAACAAAAUAUACUGCAUUACAAAUAAUUUGUCAUGGCCUCUCGUUUUUAUUAAUAAACGUAUUUACUGCAAAAUAUAAAAUGUCUUAAUAUAUUAACAACCACUUAGUUUAACAUUAUUUCAACAUGGUAGCAGAGCGUGGUUUCGAUCCACGGAAAUACAGUAGAGAAUAACUGCAUUAAUUGUCCUCUAGGUUAUUUUCUUUUUCUAUGGCUUUGACUGAAUAUUAGUUUUUUUACAUUGUUCUCACAUAGUUGAAAUAAUCGAAACAACAAACCAAGAAUUGUAUUGUGAAUCUGAUUGAAAAAAGAGUAACCUAUGGAGUUUCUUGCUCGUUCUUCUCCAUAGGAAUCUACACUUUGGAACGAGCAAAUAGCUUCACUAGAGGACUGACCGACAGACAGACGUUAUUAAUCUUAUUAUAUUUGCUUUGACGUUCAAAAGUGCCUUCCUGGUCUAUUUGAAAUAAAUGACUUUGAGGUAGUCGAAGAAAAUACUAAAUUAAUUUGUUUAGAAAAACUUGAUGAUGAAAUUGAUUGAAAUUUGGAAAGUAAAGAAACUCCAGAUGUAGACAAUAAAGUAAUUAAAACUAACAUUGAUGAGGAUUUUGUUAGUGAUCAUAACUCUAAUAAUGCUGUGCAGGAUUUUGUAAAUGAUGAAAAUUUAAGUGGAAAACAAGACACACUUGCUAUAGAAAAAAGUCAAAAAGAAAGAUAACUCCAGAUUCUAGAUAUGGUAACCCAGUAUCACAUUUUAUUUAUAUAAAUUGUAUUGAUGAAUUAAAUUGUAUGAAAUACAUUUGAGGAGGCGAUGAACUCAAAUGAAUGUAAGCAAUGGCAAAUAGCGAUGAAAUGAAAUCAAUAGUAUAACUAAAUAUAAUAUGUACAUGGCAAAUUGUAGAUCGUCCAAAAGAUAAAAAGGUUAUUGAUGUCAAGUGGGUUUUUAAAAAGAAAAGUAAUAAUACAUAUAAAGAUAGAUUGGUUGUACGUGGGUUUCAGCAAAAGGAACAUCAACAAAUGUUUAUUCACCAGUAGGCAACAAAUGGAUGUUGAAACGGCUUUUUUAAAUAGUUAUAUAAAGUCAGAAGUGUUUAUUAAUCAACUAAAACGUUAUGUGUUAACGCCAACACAACACAACACUAUCAUCGACCAUCCCCCGUCCCUAUGCCGGCGGCCAUGACAGCGCGCGAGCUAGCCGCGUCGCUGAGGCCCCGCCAACCGCCACUCCACCAUCCAGCGCGCACGCGACCACACGCGCUGUCAUAAACCAAACAUUUUGUAAUAAUUGUAGCUAACGUUUUCUUAUAAUUCUAACUUGUAAUCUAAUACGUAAUUAAACUCAUCUUGGAUAAUCGUAAUCAAGAGUUUUAAUUAUUCAACAUAAACAUUUUGGCGACCGUGACAGGACGCUUCUGUGCGGGAAGCGCGGAAGCAGAAAACGAAGCUAUAUACCUAACCAACGGAGUUACGGACCAGUCGAGGUUGGAGAAGCGGAAUCCAGGGCCUGGCAGCAAGCUACAUCAGUAAAAGGUGUGCCCGUUCCUUAAUCCUACCUUCUAGACAUUUCCGAUUCCGAUACCUAUUCUUUGUUUGCGGCGAGCAGUGAACCGCAUCUGCCCACUUCUUGAAGACUAUUGAAACGGGAGGUUUCAAGGCGCGGGAGGAUGUUAACGCCAACACAACACAACACUAUCAUCGACCAUCCCCCGUCCCUAUGCCGGCGGCCAUGACAGCGCUGUCAUAAACCAAACAUUUUGUAAUAAUUGUAGCUAACGUUUUCUUAUAAUUCUAACUUGUAAUCUAAUACGUAAUUAAACUCAUCUUGGAUAAUCGUAAUCAAGAGUUUUAAUUAUUCAACAUAAACAUUAUGAAACUGAUGAUAAUAAAGUUUACUAAUUGAAAAAGGCUCUCUAUGGUCUCAGAGAAAACCCGAGGGUAUGGUAUGAUUGUUUUAAUAAAUUUAUUGAAAAAUUAAACUUUGUAAGAAGUAACUAUGAUUACUGUUUGUUUGUAAAUAGUACAAGCAAAGAUCCAGUAUAUAUUCUAGUAUUUGUUGAUGAUCUUCUAAUUUGAAAUUCUUGGAUCGAAUGGCAGAUUCUGUCUAAUAUAAUAUGGUUCAGAAUCACACAUUAGAUCCAAGAAUUUUUACUAUACAGGGUGUACCUGAAGUCGACGUCCAAUAGGCACCAGAUGAUAUGGAAGGUUCCAACUAUUAUCAGAAAAAAGGACCAUGCCCAUUUUUGCCCCAGAAACGCCCAGAUAAAGUAAAUUACAAGAUUGAGGUAAUAAAUAAAAAUUUGAAUUAAAUUGUUAAUUUUAAGUCCUAAGAAGCACUGGAUAAAAAAUAAAAAAAAUACGACUUUUUGUUGACCACCGAUCGGGGCUUUUGACAGAAUAAUGUUUCAUUCAUGCUUUUUGCAUUUAUCACGGUCUGGAAUCAUGUCUUUUGGCCGGUUUAUUCACUCGUUGUGUUUUUACAAAUUAUUUUGAAUAAUGAUAAACUAGUAUUAUAGUGUUGCUGUUUUAUUUGUAUAUUAAUGAUACUAUCGGUAAGAUUAACUUCAUAAUAAGUAACCGCAUGUAAAUUAUCUUACUAGUAAAAAAUAUGAAACGUUAUUUUUUUUAACAUCUUUUAAGACUGGCAACACUGAUUCAUUCAUUCACUCUGCGUCUGCUGCUGUGUUUACGUUUACUCCGAUUGUGCUUUUCCGUUCAAUUUAAAAUCUACUUCGGCUACGUUUUAUGGAUAUUGAUAGUGUCGUUUUAUUCAGUGACUUCGGCUUUUCUUAUACGGACUUCGUUGUGUUUUGUGAUUUGGACUUUUCGUUUGUGACACAAAAUGUUGCGUUGCUUGAACUGUGGGUUACGCGUUCAACGCAUACAGAGGCAUGUUGUUACAACUUUGCCUCAAGAGUUGCUAAUUAUCUUGUCUAUUUGGCUUAGAAUUGAAUAUCUCCCUAUGGAAGAUGUAAUAUGUCAUGCAUGUUAUGUAUUCUUACAAAAUGCUGAUGUAAACACACCUAGAAUAUUAGGUCAUACUAAUAUCUGUGCUGGCUGUGGCUGUUCUUUGAAUGAAGCUAGACUUCAUUCUCUCGAAGAAAAUGGACCAUUAUAUGAUUUUUUUCCAUGGAUUAGAUCAGUACAGAAUGGAAGAGAUAGCUAUGCUGUUUGUCAUAAUUGUUGGCGGCGAGCUAGCCGACAAUUUGAACAAGAUUCUCAAUGAGAAAUGGCUAUACCACAAUUGCCACCUGUACCUGCUCCUGCUCCAGCACCUGCCCCUGCUCCGGCACCUGCCCCUGUCCCGGCACCUGCACCUGCUUCUGCCUCUCAGCUGGGCCAGAGAUCAGUUGGAAUGGUCAAUUUACCUCAUUACAAGAGAGCUGCUAGUACAUCAAGACACUGCAUUUAUUCCGACUGCGGUUAUGUACCUAUGCAUUUAAUACCAACAUUUAUUAAAAAUAUGUUAAUUGUAGAUUACAACUAUUAUGUGCCCCGGUAUUCACGUGUUUGCCAUCACCAUUUGUAUUCUAAUACUUGGCGUGAAUUACCAGAACAAUCA